UGGGGAAUUUUGGACAAUGGGGGAAACCCUGAUCCAGCCAUCCCGCGUGUGCGAUGAAGGCCUUCGGGUUGUAAAGCACUUUUGGCAGGAAAGAAACGUCGCGGGUUAAUACCCCGCGAAACUGACGGUACCUGCAGAAUAAGCACCGGCUAACUACGUGCCAGCAGCCGCGGUAAUACGUAGGGUGCAAGCGUUAAUCGGAAUUACUGGGCGUAAAGCGUGCGCAGGCGGUUCGGAAAGAAAGAUGUGAAAUCCCAGAGCUUAACUUUGGAACUGCAUUUUUAACUACCGGGCUAGAGUGUGUCAGAGGGAGGUGGAAGUUCCGCGUGUAGCAGUGAAAUGCGUAGAUAUGCGGAGGAACACCGAUGGCGAAGGCAGCCUCCUGGGAUAACACUGACGCUCAUGCACGAAAGCGUGGGGAGCAAACAGGAUUAGAUACCCUGGUAGUCCACGCCCUAAACGAUGUCAACUAGCUGUUGGGGCCUUCGGGCCUUGGUAGCGCAGCUAACGCGUGAAGUUGACCGCCUGGGGAGUACGGUCGCAAGAUUAAAACUCAAAUGAAUUGAC
rnacentral:rRNA from 1 species